UACGUAGGGUGCAAGCGUUAAUCGGAAUUACUGGGCGUAAAGCGUGCGCAGGCGGCUUUGCAAGACAGAUGUGAAAUCCCCGGGCUUAACCUGGGAACUGCAUUUGUGACUGCAUGGCUGGAGUGCGGCAGAGGGGGAUGGAAUUCCGCGUGUAGCAGUGAAAUGCGUAGAUAUGCGGAGGAACACCGAUGGCGAAGGCAAUCCCCUGGGCCUGCACUGACGCUGAGUGCGCGAAAGCCCAGGGGAGCAAACGGGG
rnacentral:rRNA from 1 species